GUUCGUUUUCUUUCCUCUUGUGCAUCGCUUACCGUACACAGUUCGUUCUGAACUGCAUGCACAGUUCAGCCAGCGGUCAGUUCGUUCUGAACUGUAUUAUCAAUUCAUCGUUCAUCGUACACAGUUCGUUCUGAACUGGGUAUACAGUUCAUAUGAACUGCUGUCAAUAAUACGUGAGAUAAAGGAGUUAGUGAACCAUUAAAAUAACUCUAUGGCUCGAUGUGUGGCACAGGGAUGCGUGAACGUUCGGUCAUUGAUACCCGGGCUCGAGUCCAACUCGAAUUAUGAAAACAUGUCCCACAAAUUAUCAUUCCAUCGAUCCCCAAGGGUAUGUGACUAUUUGGAAGAAAUGGCUUCGAUUCUUCGGACAGGACCUAAACAGCAAUAAUAAAAACAUGUACAUUUGCUCACUUCACUUCAGUUCAGAUUGUUUCAUUCAUAUCGAUGGCUUGGAAGUACAAUAUCGUCGAAAACUGAUACAAACAACUAUUCAUACUGUCAGAAAGGCCAACGAUAUUCAUGCCUUUUGAAAUCAAAACCGGAAGGCUCGUCGAAAGAUCUUGAUGGACAUCAAGCAAAAGUUGAAUCCAUUAAAAAUAUUCGUAACAUCCGCAGAAUCGGCCCAGUUUUCUAAUGGGAGGAAACAUGACUAUCCAGAGAGGAAUAUUCCGUCAAAGGAAAUCGGGAGCAGCACCAUCAACAGUUCUAAUGAGAAACCUAGCGAUUCGGCCGGUUAUGAUAGUUUAAUUCAAGCACUGCGGCAAGAAUUAUCGAAGAACAACAGAAAGCUUCAGGAAGCUAAAAUCUAAAUUGCCGAACCACAAUUUCCCCGAGGUUUUGAUUAGAAAGAAACCCUAAUUGGAUUAUCUUUACGCUGUAAUGAAUAUAUACAUUAAGCUAAAAUAAAAUAGAAAUGAACUCAUUUAGACAAAUUUAUUAUACCAUCUCAUGAUACUUGCAAAGCUAACACGUCACAGCCUCACUACUACUCACUACAACUCUUCGAGUGACGCGACAAUCACAAUUUUUUCGCCGAUUUAAUUAUCGCACCACCUGUGGUAUGAACAAUCCACUGGACGUCUGCUGUAGCAAGUUCAACGAAGUGUCUGAUAUGUUUGACUUCGGUGUAUCAAAAAAUGUGUUUAGGCAUAGUAGGUAAAAAUAUAU